AACGCUGGCGGCAGGCCUAACACAUGCAAGUCGAGCGAACCUAGCUUGCUAGGUGAGCGGCGAACGGGUGAGUAACGCGUAGGAAUCUGCCUGGUAGUGGGGGACAACGUUCCGAAAGGAACGCUAAUACCGCAUACGCCCUACGGGGGAAAGUGGGGGAUCUUCGGACCUCACGCUAUCAGAGGAGCCUGCGUCGGAUUAGCUAGUUGGUGAGGUAAAGGCUCACCAAGGCGACGAUCCGUAGCUGGUCUGAGAGGAUGAUCAGCCACACCGGAACUGAGACACGGUCCGGACUCCUACGGGAGGCAGCAGUGGGGAAUAUUGGACAAUGGGGGCAACCCUGAUCCAGCCAUGCCGCGUGUGUGAAGAAGGCCUUCGGGUUGUAAAGCACUUUAAGCGGGGAGGAAAGUUCGUUGGUUAAUACCCAGCGGAAUUGACGUUACCCGCAGAAUAAGCACCGGCUAACUCCGUGCCAGCAACCGCGGUAAUACGGAGGGUGCAAGCGUUAAUCGGAAUUACUGGGCGUAAAGCGCGCGUAGGCGGCUGAGUAAGUCGAUUGUGAAAUCCCCGGGCUCAACCUGGGAAUUGCAGUCGAGACUGCUCGGCUAGAGUGUGGGAGAGGGUGGUGGAAUUCCCGGUGUAGCGGUGAAAUGCGUAGAUAUCGGGAGGAACAUCAGUGGCGAAGGCGACCACCUGGCCCAACACUGACGCUGAGGUGCGAAAGCGUGGGUAGCAAACAGGAUUAGAUACCCUGGUAGUCCACGCCGUAAACGAUGUCGACUAGCCGUUGGAGACCUUAGAGUCUUUAGUGGCGCAGCUAACGCACUAAGUCGACCGCCUGGGGAGUACGGUC
rnacentral:rRNA from 1 species